rnacentral:misc_RNA from 1 species
GCAAACUUGGUCAUUUAGAGGAAGUAAAAGUCGUAACAAGGUCUCCGUAGGUGAACCUGCGGAGGGAUCAUUACAGAGUUCUCGCCCUCGCGGGUAGAUCUCCCACCCACUGCUAUCGCUACUAUCGUUGCUUCGGCGGGCCCGCGCCCGCCGGAGGCCCUCCAAACUCUGAAUGUUAGUGUCGUCCGAGUACUAUGUAAUAGUUAAAACUUUCAACAACGGAUCUCUUGGUUCUGGCAUCGAUGAAGAACGCAGC